rnacentral:lncRNA from 1 species
ACUAAUCAAAGCAUGGUGCGCAGACUUUGAGUACUAGUCUAGACGCAUUUACUCCACCUUAACAUACCAAUUAACCAAUAAUUGCUGAAAGAGACGACCAGCAUGAAAGAAUACUUUGAAUUGGCCUUCGCAAAUCUAAAGCUUGUAACACUUGUAUUCCCUCGCACUGACCCAACAGCAUGAUCCUCCAGAUUCUAAAGCCAUUAUGCAUAUUAGACCAACUUAGAAAAAAAAAUGGACAACACUUGUGUAAUUAGAAAAUAAAAUUAAAAGAUGGAAAUAAAACUGUGUGGAAAGUUCGUACCUAGCCCCUCCACGUCACCAUAAUCGAUUUCCUCAUGAUCACUUUCAUUAUCAGCCCCUUCAUCAGCCUGAUCCUCAGCUCCUGGAAAUUUAGUGGAAAUUCAGUAUAAAUAAAACUGACAUGAUAACCGUCAUCUGAUCCGAACAGUCCAUAUCCACCCUCAUGUGCUUCAUAUUCUACGAAUGGGAUAAAUGUAAAAAGUAGAUAAUUCAAU